rnacentral:rRNA from 1 species
AACGAACGCUGGCGGCAUGCCUAACACAUGCAAGUCGAACGAGUGGCGCACGGGUGCGUAACGCGUGGGAAUCUGCCCCUUGGUUCGGAAUAACAGUUAGAAAUGACUGCUAAUACCGGAUGCCGAGGGAUGAGCCCGCGUAGGAUUAGCUAGUUGGUGUGGUAAAGGCGCACCAAGGCGACGAUCCUUAGCUGGUCUGAGAGGAUGAUCAGCCACACUGGGACUGAGACACGGCCCAGACUCCUACGGGAGGCAGCAGUGGGGAAUAUUGGACAAUGGGCGCAAGCCUGAUCCAGCAAUGCCGCGUGAGUGAUGAAGUCCUUAGGGUUGUAAAGCUCUUUUACCCGUGAUGCAGUAGCGGGAGAAUAAGCCCCGGCUAACUCCGUGCCAGCAGCCGCGGUAAUUC